GAUGAAGAACGUAGCGAAAUGCGAUACUUGGUGUGAAUUGCAGAAUCCCGUGAACCAUCGAGUCUUUGAACGCAAGUUGCGCCUCAAGCCAUUAGGUUGAGGGCACGUCUGCCUGGGCGUCACAUAUCGUUGCCUGAUGCCAGUUUCCUCGUGAUGGGAGACUGUGCAGGGCGAAUGAUGGCUUCCCGUGAGCAUUGUUGCCUCAUGGUUGGUUGAAAAUUGAGUCCUUGGUAGGGAGCGCCGUGAUAGAUGGUGGUUGAGUGACGAACGAGACCCAAUCAUGUGAGACCCCUACCGAAUUUGGCCUUCAUGACCCACACGCGUCUUUGGAACGCUCAUGACGAGACCUCAGGUCAGGCGGGGCUACCCGCUGAGUUUAAGCAUAUCAAUAAGCGGAGGA
rnacentral:misc_RNA from 1 species